GAUGAACGCUGGCGGCGUGCCUAAUACAUGCAAGUCGAGCGAACGGACGAGAAGCUUGCUUUUCUGAUGUUAGCGGCGGACGGGUGAGUAACACGUGGAUAACCUACCUAUAAGACUGGGAUAACUUCGGGAAACCGGAGCUAAUACCGGAUAAUAUUUUGAACCGCAUGGUUCAAAAGUGAAAGACGGUCUUGCUGUCACUUAUAGAUGGAUCCGCGCUGCAUUAGCUAGUUGGUAAGGUAACGGCUUACCAAGGCAACGAUGCAUAGCCGACCUGAGAGGGUGAUCGGCCACACUGGAACUGAGACACGGUCCAGACUCCUACGGGAGGCAGCAGUAGGGAAUCUUCCGCAAUGGGCGAAAGCCUGACGGAGCAACGCCGCGUGAGUGAUGAAGGUCUUCGGAUCGAAACUCUGUUAUUAGGGAAGAACAUAUGUGUAAGUAACUGUGCACAUCUUGACGGUACCUAAUCAGAAAGCCACGGCUAACUACGUG
rnacentral:rRNA from 1 species